ACCAGCAACCAUAUCACCCUGCAACUCACGACGGACAGCCCAAUGCAGCUCAGCAGGUGUGAGCCUGGUCAGUACCUGGAUGGGAGACCUCCUGGGAAAAACUAAGGUUGCUGCUGGAA
rnacentral:rRNA from 1 species